rnacentral:rRNA from 1 species
GACAGAGGGGGGCAAGCGUUGCUCGGAAUUACUGGGCGUAAAGCGCACGUAGGCGGCUUUGUAAGUUAGAGGUGAAAGCCCAGGGCUCAACCCUGGAAUUGCCUUUAAGACUGCAUCGCUUGAACAUCGGAGAGGUAAGUGGAAUUCCGAGUGUAGAGGUGAAAUUCGUAGAUAUUCGGAAGAACACCAGUGGCGAAGGCGACUUACUGGACGAUUGUUGACGCUGAGGUGCGAAAGCGUGGGGAGCAAACAGG